rnacentral:rRNA from 1 species
AUUGAACGCUGGCGGCAGGCCUAACACAUGCAAGUCGAGCGGCAGCGGGAAGUAGUUUACUACUUUGCCGGCGAGCGGCGGACGGGUGAGUAAUGUCUGGGAAACUGCCUGAUGGAGGGGGAUAACUACUGGAAACGGUAGCUAAUACCGCAUGACCUCGUAAGAGCAAAGUGGGGGACCUUCGGGCCUCACGCCAUCGGAUGUGCCCAGAUGGGAUUAGCUAGUAGGUGGGGUAAUGGCUCACCUAGGCGACGAUCCCUAGCUGGUCUGAGAGGAUGACCAGCCACACUGGAACUGAGACACGGUCCAGACUCCUACGGGAGGCAGCAGUGGGGAAUAUUGCACAAUGGGCGCAAGCCUGAUGCAGCCAUGCCGCGUGUGUGAAGAAGGCCUUCGGGUUGUAAAGCACUUUCAGCGAGGAGGAAGGCAGUCGUGUUAAUAGCACGAUUGAUUGACGUUACUCGCAGAAGAAGCACCGGCUAACUCCGUGCCAGCAGCCGCGGUAAU